GGGUUAUUAUCCUGGGUUCAGGACUAACAGGAAUGCUACCGGGCUUCACAACAGAUGUCUUUUCAAAUCUCCACGAAACCACCCACCGAGAUCUCCGCUCUCAGCUGACCUGCAGCGUAGACGUGUGUGUGACAGAUCUCUGAUGACAAAGUAAAGAUGUGUGUUGGUUUUUGGACUCUAGAUUAAGAGUUUUGAGAAUCUAAAAGUCCUGACAGUUCGAUUAUCUAACUGCAGUAUUUUUCUUCUACCUGGUCAUCAGGCUGCUCAGUAUGAGAAAUAUGACCUGUGUAUCUGGACUGUUUGUUAUAAAAUAUUUUAAAUGAUUCCACAUUUUGAAAUAGAGAAUAAUGCAUACAUUACCAACAUGAUAAAGAUAAUUGAGAUUACUGCUGGGGCGGUUCACGGCCGAGUGUGAAGCAGCUGGGAUGUGAAUCAGCACCUCCAAGUCCGAGGCCAUGGUCCUCAGUCAGAAAAAGGUAGAUCACCUUCUCCAGGUCGGAGGGGCGGUCCUGCCUCAAGUGGAGGAGUCCAAGUAUCUCGGGAUCUUGUUCAGGAGUGAGGGUAGGAUGGAGCGUGGUGAAGAAAGAGCUGAGCCGUAAGGAGAGACUCUGGAUUUACCGGUCGAUCUACGUGCCGAUCCUCACCUAUGGUCAUGAACUUUGGGUAAUGACCGAAAGAACAAGAUCGCAGAUACAAGCGGCUGAAAUGGGUUUCCUCCUCAGGGUGUCCGGGCUCAGCCUUAGAGAUAGGGGAAGGAGCUCGGACACUCGGGAGGCGCUCAGAGGAGAACCGCUGCUCCUCCACGUCCAGAGGAGUCAGCUGAGGUGGCUCGGGCGUCUGGUUAGGACGCCUUCUGGACGCCUCCCGUUAGAGGACUUGGACCCGGAUGAAGCAGAAGAAAAUGACGACGAUGACGAUUGUUUAGAAACUCUCGUCCCCAUCAGAACAUUCUGAACAUGAGUUUGUGAUUCAACAAGAAUUACAGACAUUAAAGUCUGAAUUAGUGAGAGAAAAAUACACAAACUUUCAUGCAUCUGAACAUGUUCUCCAGAUUUCUGUCUAACAUCAUCCAACCUGCAGCUCCCUGAGGUUUUUACAGGAUCAAAAAUCUGAUCGUUCACUCUGACCCCUCAGAUUCUCCUCCAGGUGUCCGCUGAGACCCGGAUGGUGGUUUUGAGUCACUGACUGCUCCACCAAAAUCAAGUCUUACAGUAAAAGGUUAUCUUUAUAUCCUGUCUGACUUCAUUUGAGGCUGUUGAGUAAAUCUGAGAGCAGGAUGUAAAACUUCAUUUCAAGAAACCAGAACUGCUCUGACUCUCAUUUGGACUCUGUCUAAAUCACUCAGUCUUUGUUUUUUAACCCUAGAAGACGAUCUCUGGGUGAUUUUGACCCUCUUAAACCUGUUUUUAGGUGAUCUUCAUGAUGUUGUGUUUGUCUGAGUAUCUUCAGUGUUUCCUUUGACAUCUUUGAAGACAUAUUUGUUUCUCUGAUCCAAACCUGUUUUUUCCUACAGACUCGUGUUCACAGGCUGAUGUUAGUGAUGGAGGGUAAAGUAGGUUUGACAGCUGCAUGUAGAGAAUAAGGUCAGUCAGAGUGGUCCUGGAGUUUACAUGUUAUCUUUAUUUAGCACAGUGGUUAUGAAUAACUAUCACAAAGUCGUGAUUUUAAGUGAAUUCAGAUGGAGAUCAGAAAUAUUGGAGUCAGCUUUAAUCAUUUUUACUCCAAAUCUGACAGAUUCUGGAAAACUACUUUAAUUUCUCAUGUUUUGUCCUGUUUUGAUCUGUUUUGAUGACAAGGCCUUUUUCUUGGGUUUAUUAUUUCAGGUAAAAAUCACCUGAUAGUGAUGGUGAUGGUGUUACUGAUUUUAGUGAUAUCAUGAAGCAGACCUAAAAACCCCACACUGGUCUUGUCAGCUGGUCUGAGUCCUGGUCUGAGACCUCAGCCCUCGGUGGUUGAGCCUCGGUUUCAUCAUCUGGUCAAAGAAAACAUCCUUUCUGAGUAUUUGGUCUCCGCUGAAGUGCUUCCUUUUUCCCACGCUCGCUUUAUCAGCGCCUCUCAAAGAUCUCAGAUACUGAUAUCAAACUAAACUUCAACCUUAAACUGACCCCACAGGGACCAGGACUGCAGAAAAACCUGGAUCUGGACUGUCAGGACUGAUCAUCAGUUAAAGCAGCAGCAGCUCAGCUGGUCUGUAAACUCAGACUCACACAAACACGUCUGUGUUGUGGAUUAAAAAUAGACAUAAACAGAUGAAUCGGCCUCUUAAUGUGGAUGGUAGUGAAGAGGAGGAAGUCUCAGACCCUCAGGACCCCCACACCUGACUGUAUUAACCCCCACCACACACACACACACACACACACACACACACACACACAUUGUUUUGUCUUCCUCUUGAUUACUAAUGCAGACUGUAAACGAGGGGAAGGAUGAAGGAUGCACACUCAGACAUGAACAACAGCAGAGAGACACAAACAGUCCUCCUUUAUACUGAACCAACUAA